ensembl:rRNA 5S_rRNA 5S ribosomal RNA
UAUGGCCAUACCACCCUUAACUCACCCAAUCUCUUCUGAUUUCAGUAGCUAAGCAGUACCAGCCCUGUAUAGUACCUGGAUGGGAGAGAACAUACAGGUGAGGCCAUGA